rnacentral:rRNA from 1 species
UCUACGGGUGGCAGCAGUGGGGAAUAUUGCACAAUGGGCGAAACCCUGAUGCAGCGAAGCCGCGUGAGUGAAGAAGUACUUCGUUAUGUUAAGCUCUAUCUGCAGGGAAGAAAAUGACGGUAUCUGUGUAAUAAGCCCCGGCUAACUACAUUCCAGCAUCCGCGGUAAUACGUCGGGGGCCAGCGUUAGCCGGAUUUACUGGGUGUAAAGGGAGCGUAGACGGCAGUUCAAGUCCGGAGUGAAAGGCGGGGGCUCAACCCCCGGACUGCUCUGGAAACUGUACGGCUGGAGUGCAGGAGAGGUAAGUGGAAUUCCUAGUGUAGCGGUGAAAUGCGUAGAUAUUAGGAGGAACACCAGUGGCGAAGGCGGCUUACUGGACUGUAACUGACGUUGAGGCUCGAAAGCGUGGGGAGCAAACAGGAUUAGAUACCCGAGUAGUC